CGAGAAAGCCCUUUCGGGGGUGAGUAAAGCGGCGGAUGGGUGAGUAACGCGUGGACAACCCAUCCAAUGGUUCGGGAUAACCCUGCGAAAGCGGGGCUAAUACCGGAUAAUCCGCAUACCUCCAGGGAGGUUUGCGGUAAAGCGUGCCUCUGAUCCAAGCAUGCGCCAUUGGCAGGGUCCGCGUCCCAUUAGCUAGUUGGUAGGGUAACGGCCUACCGAGGCAACGAUGGGUAGCUGGUUUGAGAGGAUGAUCAGCCACAUUGGGACUGGAACACGGCCCAAACUCCUACGGGAGGCAGCAGUGGGGAAUCUUGGGCAAUGGGCGAGAGCCUGACCCAGCGACGCCGCGUGAGGGAAGAAGGCCCUCGGGUCGUAAACCUCUGUCAGGAGGGAAGAAAAUGCUACAUAUUAACAGUGUGUAAUAUUGACGGUACCUCCAGAGGAAGCGCCGGCCAACUCCGUGCCAGCAGCCGCGGUAAUACGGAGGGCGCAAGCGUUAUUCGGAAUUACUGGGCGUAAAGCGCGCGUAGGCGGCAACGUAAGUCAGGUGUGAAAGCCCUCGGCUCAACCGGGGGAUGGCACUUGAAACUGCGUAGCUGGAGUUCUGGAGAGGGUGGCGGAAUUCCCGGUGUAGGAGUGAAAUCCGUAGAGAUCGGGAGGAACACCAGAGGCGAAGGCGGCCACCUGGCCAGAAACUGACGCUGAGGCGCGAAAGCGUGGGUAGCAAACAGGAUUAGAUACCCUGGUAGUCCACGCUGUAAACAUUGGAUGCUAGAUGCGGGUGGCGUAGAAGUCAUCCGUGUCGCAGCUAACGCGUUAAGCAUCCCGCCUGGGAGUACGGCCGCAGGCUGAAACUCAAAGGAUUGACGGGGCCUGCACAGCGGUGGAGUAUGUGGUUUAUUCGAUGCACGCGAAGACCUACUGGGCUGACAUCCGGGACCGCUGGAAACAGCGGGGUGCCCUCGGGACC
rnacentral:rRNA from 1 species